AACGAACGCUGGCGGCAUGCCUAACACAUGCAAGUCGAACGAGACCUUCGGGUCUAGUGGCGCACGGGUGCGUAACGCGUGGGAACCUGCCUUUAGGUUCGGAAUAACUCCCCGAAAGGGGUGCUAAUACCGGCUAAUGUCUUCGGACCAAAGAUUUAUCGCCCUUGGAUGGGCUCGCGUGGGAUUACUUUGUUGGUAGGGUAAAUGCCUACCAAGGCGUCGAUCCAUAGCUGGUCUGAGAGGAUGAGCAGCCACACUGGGAGUGAGACACGGCCUGGACUACUACGGGAGGCAGCAGAGGGGAAUAUUGGAAAAUGGGCGGAAGCCUGAACCAGCAAUGCCGCGAGAGUAAUGAAGGCCUUAGGGUUGUAAAGCACUUUUACCCGGGAUGAUAAUGACAUUACCGGGAGAAUAAGCACCGGCUAACUCCGUG
rnacentral:rRNA from 1 species